rnacentral:rRNA from 1 species
CACGUAGGGGGCGAGCGUUGUCCGGAUUUAUUGGGCGUAAAGGGCUCGUAGGCGGCUCAGUAAGUCGGGUGUGAAACCUCCAGGCUUAACCUGGAGACGCCAUUCGAUACUGCUGUGGCUAGAGUCCGGUAGGGGAGCAUGGAAUUCCUGGUGUAGCGGUGAAAUGCGCAGAUAUCAGGAGGAACACCAGUGGCGAAGGCGGUGUUCUGGGUCGGAACUGACGCUGAUGAGCGAAAGCGUGGGGAGUAAACAGG